rnacentral:rRNA from 1 species
UGGGAAUUUUGGACAAUGGGCGCAAGCCUGAUCCAGCCAUGCCGCGUGCGGGAAGAAGGCCUUCGGGUUGUAAACCGCUUUUGUCAGGGAAGAAAUCUUCUGAGUUAAUACCUCGGGAGGAUGACGGUACCUGAAGAAUAAGCACCGGCUAACUACGUGCCAGCAGCCGCGGUAAUACGUAGGGUGCAAGCGUUAAUCGGAAUUACUGGGCGUAAAGCGUGCGCAGGCGGUUUUGUAAGACAGAGGUGAAAUCCCCGGGCUCAACCUGGGAACUGCCUUUGUGACUGCAAGGCUUGAGUGCGGCAGAGGGGGAUGGAAUUCCGCGUGUAGCAGUGAAAUGCGUAGAUAUGCGGAGGAACACCGAUGGCGAAGGCAAUCCCCUGGGCCUGCACUGACGCUCAUGCACGAAAGCGUGGGGAGCAAAACAGGAUUAGAUACCCUGGUAGUCCACGCCCUAAACGAUGUCAACUGGUUGUUGGGAAGGUUCCUUCUCAGUAACGUAGCUAACGCGUGAAGUUGACCGCCUGGGGAGUACGGCCGCAAGGUUGAAACUUAAAUGAAUUGACGGGGUCAUAGCUG